rnacentral:misc_RNA from 1 species
UGUGUGUCUAGGGUUGGAGGAGG